GAUGAACGCUGACAGAAUGCUUAACACAUGCAAGUCAACUUGAACUUGGGUUUGGGUGGCGGACGGGUGAGUAACGCGUAAAGAACUUGCCUCACAGCUAGGGACAACAUGUGGAAACGAAUGCUAAUACCGGCGAUUAUGAUUUUAGGGCAUCCUAGAAUUAUGAAAGCUAUAUGCGCUGUGAGCGGGCUUUGCGUCCCAUAAGCUAGUUGGAGAGGUAACGGCUCACCAAGGCGAGGAUGGGUAGCCGGCCUGAGAGGGUGAACGGCCACAAGGGGCCUGGGGCACGACCAUUACGCAUACGGGAGGCAGCGGUGGGGAAUUUUGGACAAUGGACCGAGAGUCUGAAGAAGCAAUUCUGUGUGCACAAUGAAGUUUUUCGGGAUGUAAAGUGCUUUCAGUUGGGAAGAAAAAAAUGACGGUACCAACAGAAGAAGUGACGGCUAAAUACGUG
rnacentral:rRNA from 1 species